rnacentral:tRNA from 1 species
GGGCCGGUAUCCAAACUGGCGAAGGAAGCUGACUGUAAAUCAGCCACGAAGACACGCUGCGGGUUCGACUCCCGCCUGGCCCA